rnacentral:rRNA from 4 species
UGGUGGCGAUAGCGAAGAGGUCACACCCGUUCCCAUGCCGAACACGGAAGUUAAGCUCUUCAGCGCCGAUGGUAGUCGGGGGUUUCCCCCUGUGAGAGUAGGACGCCGCCA